CGUGGUCUGUACUGAAAAACAAAAUAAAAAAGGAGGCAUAAGGGCCUGCUUUCUGCUUAGGCCUAAGUAAAGGCAUUUCUAUGUAUUUACUCCUGACCUGGAGCUAUUCGUAUUGCUGCUGUGACACCACUGAGCUGCUCACCCACCUCUCCUCACCCCUGCUCCUACCUCUAGGCUCUCUAGUUCAAGAUCUCAGCUUAUUCCCUGCAGCUGAUUAACAUCAACAAGGGCAACCCUGAUGGCUUUUAAAGCUCAGGUGCACCAGUUAAUGCUUACCCAACCUGGAAGGAAAUUGCUGCUACCUCAUGUUUGGCAGCUGCCUCUGUGUUUUCUGUUUUCUGGUGGCUCCAGUACAAAUGCUUGGUCCUGGCAGCCUGUCGUGUCUGUCUCGUGAUGCAUUCAGGCCUUGCUGUCCUCUGCAGGAAGCAGAGAUCUCCAGCAACCGGUAGAUUCUUGAACCUCAGACCAGUUUUUCUGAAGGAGCUUCUGUGCCCAGUUGCUGAGGGGAUUUGGGGGGCUCAGGCAGGACGAGCUGCUACGUGAAGGCCCAAGAAGGUCUCCCAGCUGGAUCUUGGCUAAGGAGAGCUGUUCUCAUUUUUUCCUGUGGCAUGAAGGAGUGAGCUUCUCCUUUACAAUGUUCUCACUAUGCCUCACUGGCUGAUGGCAUCAGGCAAGGCCCAAGAGGACUCUCAGGGAAGGAGGCACUUUGCUGACCUGGCCUGGGCUGGCUCUUCUCUUUCCAGAACUGUGAUGUUCUGGAAAACCUGUUCAAGUUUUCUUCAUGCUGUGUCUGUGUCACUUUCUUGGUGAAACAAGAACUUACCACCAGCGAUCUUCACAGAACGUAAAACUCCAGCCCUGACUUUGUUACUGCUUUCCUCACUGAGCUUUAAUUCUGAAUCUUUGGUGGGAGUGGCCUGUUCUUUGUGACCAUCUGCGUUACAAAACCACUGUUAGGCCACUGUUGGAAACCGGUGCUGGAAAGGAGGCCUGAAACAUGGGCCUUAUUCUUUCAAGGAAUUUAAGCUCCUGGAAUUCAUCUGGACGUUCACUGCAGAUUAAGUCACGGGGAGGCUGAACUGGAACAAACAGAGAGUAAGAUGGAAACUGGGAUUUUUUGUUGGCCUCCAGAGACCAAACCGGUUCAGGGCAUUAGCUAGCUCAGAGACUUGGGGUUGAAGCAGGAGACCACCCGGAAAACCGCAGAGUCUGGCAGGAUCCCAGGGAUUACAGGCAAUGAUUAAUGUAAGUUUAAAGAGGAUCUUAUGUGCUUUUGGACACUGAAUCUUGUUCUAGGCAGGAGGGUAGGUGCUGCUGCUAGCUGAGCCUCCAGGUCUGGAAUAAGUAAUGGAGGGGGGGAAAAAGUGCCUCCCAAAUUGGAGGCUGUUGAUUUAAAUGGGGAGAAAAAAAAAAAAUCUAAUUGAAAAUAGGCACUGAGCAGAGAAUUGGCAGUCAGAAACAUCUGAACCUGGAAUUUAAGCAGGAGUCCUUGCAUCCACAGCAAGCAUCUUGACUGAAAUUUUCUUGGGAGUACACCUGGAGUAUAGAAAUAUCUCCGUAAUGAGGGAGAUAGUUCUCCCUAAGGAGAAUACUAGAGAAGUAAAAUAGUCAUGAUACAUGUACAAGGUGAAGGAGAGUCACAGCUCAAAAACUGGCAUGGACAAAAUUACAAAGUGAGUGGACAGCACUUCAGAAGUGCAUCUAGUGCAGAGGUGGUGGUUGUAGACAACCUCUGAGGCUGCAGUGAAUGGUUCUCUUGGGGCCUUACAAGUGUAUUUCUUUUUAAAAAGGGCUACUUGACACCUGUGGGUUAGUAGGCUGGGGCAGUGGAAGCCUCAGUACCAGCUCUUUUUUUCUUUCUUUAUGUGUUUUGAAGGGUUUUAAUUGUCCAUGGUAUUUGAAUACUGAAGGCAGUUUUGUACAACAGUGAGAAAAUGCCAUCAAGAGCAUUUGCUAGGUAUUUUGUGAAGAGGAGCAAAAAUAGGAAAAAAUAAAUAAAUAAAAAAAACACCUCUGGUUUCUAGUGCAGGGGCCACUAAGGAAUAUUUUAUACCAUUCCUGCACAGUGCAAUGGUCUUCCAGAGUAUUUUGAGGGGAAGAAGCACUGAAUGUAUGAAAUGAUAAAAUUGAUAGUAAGUUUUUUGAAUGGAUUGGUUUUCCAAGAUAGCUAAAAACUGGUGAAUUGCAAACCUUUUAUCAUUUCAGCAUCUUGAGCUCCUAAAUGUUUUUUAAAAGAUUUACCAGUCCUGAUGGUGAAUUUUCUGGUUGGAACAGGCAGUAUCAAAAAAUAACCCAGACCUCACACCCUCUUUCCUAUCAGAGAGAAAAUGUUCCAAAUAGAUGAGGUUAUUGCAUCGAGAAAGACUGUCACAAGAGCAGUGUUCCAAGCCUGCAUCUUUCAAAGGGAUCUGUAGAUGUGCAAUGUGUUCAGUGAACCAGAACAAGGGUUUAUUUUCCAGAAAGCUUAUGUGUCAAAGCCUGAAAAUGUACCUGGGUAUAUGGGGAAAGACCAGAAGUGAAUGGGGAGGUGACUCCAGUUCCAGAGACCAUGCAGAGUCAAUAAAGUGGUGCCAUUUACCUCCUGCCAUUGGAGCAAGGCAGUGACCUCUUUUCAGCAUGUGAGCAUAACCACUGUGAGCUAGCCAAGGGGGAUCUAUUUUUAACCCUAUGUGGUCAGUAAAGUAGGAAGAUGAGAGGAUUUCCAGGAGGCAGGUGUGAAUACAUUCAAGGGAUUCUUGGGUGCUGUUGUUGUUAAACCUGUAGUUUGAAGAGUGUCACAGAUUUAGUAGGUUCACUGCAAGACAGUGGAGAAAAAGCCUCUGGCUAAAAUACUGGACCUUGGCUUUCUGCCCCAAUACAUUACUGAAUAUUCUUUCAAAUAACUAAUCAUUAUGACUAUUUCAUAGUGAAAUGCCUAUUUCAUUGAUAUCUGUGAUUGUAUAACAGACUAUGUUCUGACACUUCUGAAUUUCUCAUCCUUCUCUGGCUGAAACAACUCUGCUAAAAGUUGCCAAUGAUCUAGUUUUCCUAAAAACCCUAUUUUUAGGAGAACUUACUAUUUACUGAAAAUGUUGCACGGUCCCACUGUGAACAAAAGCACAGACAUUCAGCGUGGUGCUCUUGCCUGUCAUUAGUUGACAUUUGCAGUGACAUCUGCAUUCUCUCUGCUGGAGAACAGCAGCUUGGAGCAGAGGAUUGGAGUUCCACUGGGACAUACUGGUAGGCUGCAGUCAGCCAUGGUUUGAAUGUGAAUGCUGCCAGUGAUUCAGGAAACUCCAUCUGUUUUGUAUUCGUAUCCAUGCUCUGUUUAUACUGCAGGGCUUUCGGCCUGGCCCUGCAGGGGUUUAAGAGACCAUUGUGUCCCAGAGCCUGGCUUGUAGGAGUGGAGUGUGACCUCAAUAGGCACGUCUGAGCUCCCAGAGAAACUGAAAGACUUGGCCCUGGAUUUUAAAACUCUGGAGUUUUAUCUCUUUGUCUGGGGUACUCGAUGCCAGGGCACCAAGUCACAGAAUCAUAGAAUGUGAAUUGCUAAAGGGUGCUCUGCGUGGCUGGGUCUAUAUAAUCCCAUAUAAUGCAACUACAGAACAUGCUGUUGUAUGGAGAUACUGCUUCAUACAGUAAACAAAUGCUUUGCAGUUAUCAGAGAGACCUAUAUACUUGCUGGCACAGAGCUCUGCCCGGUUUGUGGUUACUCAUUCUUUUGAGCCUACUUUUAGAGUAGAAUUAGACAAGUCAGACACCAUCUGGUUCCAAGACACUAAGUUUAACAAAAACAAUAAUAAAAGUCUGUCUCCCUUUUUUUUUUUUCCCCUCCCCUCAUCCUGGUCUUCACUGAUUAGGGACAGCCAGUUCAAAUGUGCAAGUAAAAUGCAAGCUGAAAGGCAGGGAGACGAGGCAGUUCUGAAACUAGGUUAGAGAUUAAACGAGCCUGAUACUUGGCAGCUGUAGGCAAGGUUGGAUUGCCCUAGGGAAAGGGCUCAAAAUGAUUAAUGAAUUGGUGUUAUUAGCCUAUCAUGGGAUUGCAAUUCUGUUUGAAUCCGGAAGACUGAAAUUGAGAGGAGCUGUGUGGGUGUGAAUGAUGUACUGUAGAAGAAAGCUCAAGAACAGUUUCCCAGAAGGCAAGUAGAUCCCUUAAGGCAACCUCAUGUUUGUUUUACUGCACCAUGUAGUCUAAAAUAUGCCCUUCACUACCAGUGGAUUGAUUCAUCAGCUGAUACUGGGAUUUACCAUCUGCAAAGCUGUCCUUUCUCAGUUUAGGAGGCUCAGGAAACAAAGGAGAUACUACAGCAGUAACAGCUGCUUAUGGGCCUCCACUCUAAGAGGUGUUUCUUCAGCUGAAGCAGCUGGGAUCUUGCUCCAGAAAAGAAAAGGCUGGGCCUGGUUCAUCAUCUCUGCUAAAUGUCCCUGUGCCACAUCACAGCAAAUUGGGCUUGUUGAACAGUUGGGAAAGUGGAAAUUGACUGCUCAAGUCAGAAGAGGAGAAAAAGAGCUUCUCUUCCACUCAUCCUUCCUUAAUCAUGAAUGAUUGGGCUUUUGCUGUAACAGUGUGAAUGGUAGCAUUUACUACUGCCUUGCCAACCAGGACUGCUCUCUGGAAUCACUUCCUCCAAUAUUUAUGCAUCAGGCUGUGACCUGAAAAAGGGGUUGCUGUGUACACAGGAGCAGCUGGGCUGUGCAUAAGGUGUCUGUACCCUCCAGCAGGAGUGGCUGACCUUAGCCAUGCGUGGGUGUGAGAAGUGGCUUUGGAUAUCAUAGAAAAGUUUUUAGGUAAAGUCUGAGGAGUCAGCAGAAGCCACAAAUACAAACCUGCUUGGCAUAUCAGUAGUGACAGCCUAAUUCUGGAGAGGAAAUACCUCAAACAGGCCACUUCCAACUGCUACCACCUCUCUGGGGAAGCAUCUUUGGUUCCUGUGUCUGCCAAGACUAAAGCUUCGUGGUCCAGUUCAGGCCCUGGAAAGUCAUCUUCAGCAUUGUUGUCAUUUAUUUUUCAUGCUGUUUUCCUAGAACUCGUUCACCACGUGUGCAAUGCUCCGUUGCUGAUGGGGGAAGGAAAACACAAAGCACUGAACAUGCUGUGUACUACUAGAAGUACUGUGGCCAAGUCAGUGGGACCAUAGCAUGAGGAUGCCCAGCACUGGUUCAGUAUGAGACCUGUACCCCAGCUGUCAAUAGCUCUGGCAAGAAAUUCCCCUUCUGACAGCCCAACUGGCUGUUUUUAUCAGGUAGGCUAGAAAAAAAAAAAAGUGUAGGCUCAGAAUAAAACGCUCAGGCAUUUUUAGAAUCAGAAGCUGCAUCCCAGCAUUUUCUUCUAGCGGGAGCAGAUCCCUCCACCUGAACCAGGCCUUUCAGGCUUCCCUUGUUUCCCCAAAACGUGGCAUAAGGAGCCCCUGGAUGUUUCCCUCAGUAAUGUUCUCCAAAUUCUUCAUAGCAUUAACCAUCUUUAUAUAGUGUUUAUCAUUCAACCCCAAGAGUUAGGGACAAUGGCUGUAAAUGGUGUGACUUCAGUGAAUAGCUGGGACAAGGAUUCAGCACAAAAUUAUCACUACAACUACCAAGUAUACAUAUUGUCUUCAACAACCUUCAGCUUUUUCUGCCCCAAGAUAAAUUUUUAUCAUGUAGCAUGAAUCAGUUGCAUCCUUAAAUAAGUAAGCAAACCCACCAAAUCUGAGUCAUUGCUCUUUCUUUUCAGCCAUCUGCUUAUAAGGCCAA